AUUGAACGCUGGCGGCAGGCCUAACACAUGCAAGUCGAGCGGGAACUUCGGUUCUAGCGGCGGACGGGUGAGUAAUGCGUAGGAAGCUACCCGAUAGAGGGGGAUACCAGUUGGAAACGACUGUUAAUACCGCAUAAUGUCUACGGACCAAAGUGUGGGACCUUCGGGCCACAUGCUAUCGGAUGCACCUACGUGGGAUUAGCUAGUUGGUGAGGUAAUGGCUCACCAAGGCGACGAUCCCUAGCUGGUUUGAGAGGAUGAUCAGCCACACUGGAACUGAGACACGGUCCAGACUCCUACGGGAGGCAGCAGUGGGGAAUAUUGGACAAUGGGCGCAAGCCUGAUCCAGCCAUGCCGCGUGUGUGAAGAAGGCCUUCGGGUUGUAAAGCACUUUCAGCGAGGAGGAAGGGUUGUGUGUUAAUAGUACACAGCCUUGACGUUACUCGCAGAAGAAGCACCGGCUAACUCUGUGCCAGCCGCCGCUGUAAGAC
rnacentral:rRNA from 1 species